rnacentral:lncRNA from 1 species
UUUUUGUCUUGAUACAGUGUUCGUUUGAUUUAUAUUAACAAAUAAAUUUUAAUCAACUACAAAGUUUGUGUGUGCAAGGAGGAAUGUUCUUUCUCCGGAUGCCCUAAGUUUGUGUAUGUUGUUGUGUCAAAGAAGGGAUGAACACAACUUCGCAUUUGUUUUUACAUUUUGAAGUGGUGUUCAAUGUUUGGUUUAAGUUGAUGGAUUGGCUCAGGCGCAAUUUUAUCAAUCCGCCAAAUAUGUUCAUUCAUUGGGUUGGAUGGGACAAAAAGAAUCUCAAAGGGUCUUUGACAAAUUUGACAUAUACAAAUAUUUUUAUUCAUUGGGUUAUUUGAAAAGCGAGAAAUCACAUAAUCUUCAAAAAUAUGGCCUAGGGGAUGGAUGAUAUUUUUUUGCAGGUGGUGCGUUUAUCGUGGCGUUGGAGAUGAAGAUAUUUAUAUCUAAUAAAUAAACUAAGAGAUUAAGAUAUUUUUAUUUGUAGUGUAUCAUAUGCAUUUAUCGUUUCUUAAAAAAGUAAUGAGCAAAUAAAGUUUGUUUGCCAUUUAGCAAGAAAAGAUUUUGUCCACUAAAAUGAUUAAAAUUAAAGGAAGUGAUAUGUCUUUCUAUCUUUAUAGAAAAAAAAUAAAGAAAGG